CACGCCUAUUGCCCUCUACACUCUCCAGUCUCAUGCGGCCCUGCCUCCUAACUCGCUCUCUCACGCCUCGCAGCCGUCUCUCUCCGGCUGCCUCUCUCUCUCUUUCUCUCUCGCUUUCUCGUUGCAAGCGGCAAGCCGUCGUGUCUCUCUCUCGUCUCCCGUCGUGUCCGGUGGCUUAACUUCACCGUCGUCUCCCUCGCUUUCUCGUUGCAAGCGGAAAGCCGUCGUAUCUCUCUCUCGUCUUUUCAGGUUGUUGUUCCCCAACAAUGGACUUGUCAUCGGAAUGGAAGGCCCUCUUCCCAAUCUCCACAGUGCACGCCCCUCCACUCCUCCUCUCCGGGCCUUCCUCCAAGCCCAUCCUCAGCCCUCUCCUCUUCAACCCUAACCCUCCUCUUCUCCUCCCCUUCUCUCUUCUCCCACUCUCUCCCCCCUCCUCUCCACCUCACUCUGCCCAGAUUCCUCCACGCCUCGUCCUCUCUCCCCCCCUCUACUUCCUCCUCCGUCGCGUCCCUCGUUGGCCCCCUCCAUCCACAACCGCCUCUCCUUUCUUCAACUUCCCUAUUCCAACUCUCUCCUCAUCUUCUUUCCAACCGGUGCCAACUCCGAGCAAGUCGGGUUCUUGAAGCUGUCCUUGAACAAUUCAGGGUCGGGUUUCGACAUUCAGGCCAAUAAAAACGGUGAUGUUUUCAGGGAAAGGACCGGGUUUGAGUAUCAGAUUAUCAAGAUCUCGGUCAACCUGGCGGUUGGUUCCGAUGCGAUUCUGGCAGACCGAGAAAGCAAAACUUCCAAGAAUAGAGCUUAGGGGCCUUCUCAGCUAAGAGGAAGAUCAGAGUGAAGCUGGAAAGAGGAUAAAAGUGUUCCGACUUCAUCUGUGUUGACUUGUGUUGUCAUGCUCCCUCAUUUGCAGUCAGUCCCACAGUAUCUUUGAGUGGCUUUCACACAAACUUUCUCGAGCUGUUUGCAUAAACAUAAUGAAGCAUGUAACUAGAUUUCAGUUGUGUACUGUCUAACAGCUUUUGUAAGUAGAUUUUGUUGUAGUAAGCCACCAAAAAAUAUAUGAAUUGU